GCGGAGAUGGCGGAAUGGCAGACGCGCUAGAUUCAGGUUCUAGUGAGGGUUUCCUCAUGAGGGUUCAAGUCCCUUUCUCCGCA
rnacentral:tRNA from 1 species